rnacentral:snoRNA from 1 species
UGGAUCAUUGAUGAUAUCUUGGCUCCCUCUACUGAACCUCAUGUGGAAGCCUGCCAUUGUUACCCAAUAUCUGUCUGAGAUGUG